UGUGCCNUUGAGGCGUGGCUUCCGGAGCUAACGCGUUAAGUCGACCGCCUGGGGAGUACGGCCGCAAGGUUAAAACUCAAAUGAAUUGACGGGGGCCCGCACAAGCGGUGGAGCAUGUGGUUUAAUUCGAUGCAACGCGAAGAACCUUACCUACUCUUGACAUCCAGAGAACUUANCAGAGAUGNNUUGGUGCCUUCGGGAACUCUGAGACAGGUGCUGCAUGGCUGUCGUCAGCUCGUGUUGUGAAAUGUUGGGUUAAGUCCCGCAACGAGCGCAACCCUUAUCCUUUGUUGCCAGCGGUNNGGCCGGGAACUCAAAGGAGACUGCCAGUGAUAAACUGGAGGAAGGUGGGGAUGACGUCAAGUCAUCAUGGCCCUUACGAGUAGGGCUACACACGUGCUACAAUGGCGCAUACAAAGAGAAGCGACCUCGCGAGAGCAAGCGGACCUCAUAAAGUGCGUCGUAGUCCGGAUUGGAGUCUGCAACUCGACUCCAUGAAGUCGGAAUCGCUAGUAAUCGUAGAUCAGAAUGCUACGGUGAAUACGUUCCCGGGCCUUGUACACACCGCCCGUCACACCAUGGGAGU
rnacentral:rRNA from 2 species